ACUGCACAUGGUUCGAAGCACACUUCAGGGGACCAGUGCAUGCCCCUGAUGCAUCGUCGCGAAGCACUGUAUGGCUCUCUGCACGCUAGAAUGGGGGCUGUCGUUGAUGCUCGCAGAGGCGUCGCCCACAACUAAGCAGACGACCAAAGUCCUGAGCAGGUCCCGGGGAUCAUGGCAUCAAUGAGCUCGCUUUCACCUUGUC